rnacentral:misc_RNA from 1 species
CAACUCCGUUCAACUUCUAUCAUCUUAAAUUCUUAACAACCAUCCAAAGCAUAAAUCAAAAUAAUGCCAAAUAAAGAAGAAAAAAAAGGAACCAAAUAUCCUAGGAAACAAAACAAUGAAUUAGAGAUGAUUAAUUGUUUCAUUAUCUCUCCUACAGAAUACAAACUCAUCAUUAAAUCUCUCUUUUUUGGCUAUAUUUUCCAUCAUCAGGAUUUGAACGUAACAGACGCAAUGCAUCACUCUUGGACAUCAUAGUAGAUACAAAAUGAGAUCACGAAU